GGACUACAUGGGUAUCUAAUCCGGUUCGCUCCCCCAGCUUUCAUCCCUCACCGUCGGGCGCGUUCUAGCAGACAGCCUUCGCCACUGGUGGUCUUCCCGGGAUUAUAGGAUUUCACCCCUACCCCGAAAAUACCGUCUGCCUCUCCCGUCCCCUAGCCGAACAGUAUCCCCCGCACACCAACAAUUAAUUCAUUGGAUUUAACAGGGGACUUGAACAGCAAGCUACGGAUGCUUUAGGCCCAAUAAACAUCCACACCACUCGGAGAGCUGGUAUUACCGCGGCGGCUGACACCAGACUUGCCCUCUCCUUAUUCUCCCAGCUUGCUAAACUGAGCAAAAGCCACCCUCAGCGGGCGGCACUCGGGAUAGCCCUGUCACACUUGCGUGUAUUGCAAAGUUUUCGCGACUGCUGCACCCCAUAGG
rnacentral:rRNA from 1 species